rnacentral:rRNA from 1 species
CAAGGCUUGACAUACACGAGAACACCCUGGAAACAGGGGACUCUUUGGACACUCGUGAACAGGUGGUGCAUGGUUGUCGUCAGCUCGUGUCGUGAGAUGUUGGGUUAAGUCCCGCAACGAGCGCAACCCUCGUUCUAUGUUGCCAGCACGUAAUGGUGGGAACUCAUGGGAUACUGCCGGGGUCAACUCGGAGGAAGGUGGGGAUGACGUCAAAUCAUCAUGCCCCUUAUGUCUUGGGCUUCACGCAUGCUACAAUGGCCGGUACAAAGGGCUGCAAUACCGUGAGGUGGAGCGAAUCCCAAAAAGCCGGUCCCAGUUCGGAUUGAGGUCUGUAACUCGACCUCAUGAAGUCGGAGUCGCUAGUAAUCGCAGAUCAGCAACGCUGCGGUGAAUACGUUCCC